rnacentral:rRNA from 1 species
AGUGAACGCUGGCGGUAGGCCUAACACAUGCAAGUCGAACGGCAGCACAGUAAGAGCUUGCUCUUACGGGUGGCGAGUGGCGGACGGGUGAGGAAUACAUCGGAAUCUACUUUUUCGUGGGGGAUAACGUAGGGAAACUUACGCUAAUACCGCAUACGACCUACGGGUGAAAGCAGGGGAUCUUCGGACCUUGCGCGAUUGAAUGAGCCGAUGUCGGAUUAGCUAGUUGGCGGGGUAAAGGCCCACCAAGGCGACGAUCCGUAGCUGGUCUGAGAGGAUGAUCAGCCACACUGGAACUGAGACACGGUCCAGACUCCUACGGGAGGCAGCAGGGGGAAAUUGUGGAAAAGGGGGGCAAGCCUGAUCCAGCCAUACCGGGGGGGUGAAGAAGGCCUUCGGGUUGUAAAGCCCUUUUGUUGGGAAAAAAAAGCAGCAGGUUAAUACCCCGCUGUUCUGACGGUACCCAAAGAAUAAGCACCGGCUAACUUCGU